rnacentral:rRNA from 1 species
CAUUUGCGGCUGCUACCAUGCAAGUCGAACGGAGAUAUGAUUUCGGUUGUAUCUUAGUGGCGAACGGGUGAGUAACGCGUGAGCAACCUGACUCUUAGAGGGGGAUAACACUCGGAAACGGGUGCUAAUACCGCAUAAGACCACGACAUGGCAUCAUGACGAGGUCAAAGGAGCAAUCCGCUGAGAGAGGGGCUCGCGUCCCAUUAGAUAGAUGGCGGGGUAACGGCCCACCAUGUCAGCGAUGGGUAGCCGAGCUGAGAGGCUGAUCGGCCACACUGGAACUGAGACACGGUCCAGACUCCUACGGGAGGCAGCAGUGGGGAAUAUUGGGCAAUGGGCGCAAGCCUGACCCAGCAACGCCGCGUGAGGGAAGAAGGCUUUCGGGUUGUAAACCUCUGUCCUUGGUGACGAAAAAAAUGACGGUAGCCAAGGAGGAAGCCCCGGCUAACUACGUGCCAGCAGCCGCGGUAAUACGUAGGGGGCGAGCGUUGUCCGGAAUUACUGGGCGUAAAGGGUGCGUAGGUGGCCUUUUAAGUUGGAUGUGAAAUACCCGGGCUUAACUUGGGGGGUGCAUCCAAAACUGGGAGGCUAGAGUGCAGGAGAGGAAAGCGGAAUUCCUAGUGUAGCGGUGAAAUGCGUAGAUAUUAGGAGGAACACCAGUGGCGAAGGCGGCUUUCUGGACUGUAACUGACACUGAGGCACGAAAGCGUGGGGAGCAAACAGGAUUAGAUACCCUGGUAGUCCACGCGGUAAACGAUGAAUACUAUGUGUAGGGGGUAUCAACUCCCCCUGUGCCGGAGCUAACGCAAUAAGUAUUUCC